UACGUAGGGUGCGAGCGUUAAUCGGAAUUACUGGGCGUAAAGCGUGCGCAGGCGGUGAUGUAAGACAGAUGUGAAAUCCCCGGGCUCAACCUGGGAACUGCAUUUGUGACUGCAUCGCUGGAGUGCGGCAGAGGGGGAUGGAAUUCCGCGUGUAGCAGUGAAAUGCGUAGAUAUGCGGAGGAACACCGAUGGCGAAGGCAAUCCCCUGGGCCUGCACUGACGCUCAGGCACGAAAGCGUGGGGAGCAAACAGG
rnacentral:rRNA from 1 species